rnacentral:misc_RNA from 1 species
CCCUCACGACGAAAAAAAAAGUGAGAGGUGUAUUGACAUAGGGCGGUGGCGUGGUCUACCGGUAAAAGUAAAUCGGCUGAGACUCGAGAUCUUUCCCUGGUUGGAAUUCUGUCUGACGAAAAAAGGGAAGGAAGCAAAAAAAAAGUCAAAGUAUAUAUAGCAGCAUAGAAAGAAAAAGGAGAAUGGACACUUUUCGUUGAUGUUUCGAUUCGUGUGUUCUUUGUUUGCCUGUGGUUGUCCGCGUGUGUGCGUGGCUCAUCAUUUGGGUGGUGUGCUUGUGAUGAAAGGGGGAAAGACGUCGAUGUGGGAGGCGGCGGCUCCUGAGUCUAGCCGUAUCCAGGCGCGCACCUUUUCAGAGUUGUGAAGUUGGGGUCGAGACACAAAUGCGAAAAUGACACGCGCUGAAGUGACGAAGCAAGGAGCUGAGGGAAGCCUGACGCUUUUCAUCGAGUACUUCGUGUUCGGCGGCGUAGUGCAUUCACGGCUUGCCGUAAGCGCGCUCGAUUUUCUUUUUGACGCGUUUUAUGAUGCUCUCUACGCUAGCAAAGACGCUAUUCUCCUCCCUUUUCCGCCGGCUCGCUCUGCCCCUCCGUUCCCCAUUCCCCCCCUCCCUCAUCUUUUUUCCUUAUUGCUUUCUCGCACCGUCUGCCGGUCUGUAUGUGAUGGAUGAUAUCGACGUUGUUUGUAUGUGUCGGACUCGUUUCGUUUGUCAUAUAUAUAUAUAUAUGUAUCUUUUUUUUUGCCCUGUACUGCGUCGUGAAGGAGGAACAAAAAAAAACGGAAAAGGAUAAAAAUGUCGAGCAAAUCGCCACAACAAAAAAAAACACACAAACCACGAAAACGAGAAAAAAGGAGAAGAGGAGCGAAAACACAGACAUGAAAGACGAAAAAAAAACAAUAAAAGGAAGAAGGGAGGAACCGAGAAGAGAGCGAAAACACACAGACACCACACACACCGACGACAGCGGUGCCAUGUAUAGCGCUAGGCGUCUGUGCCAUUAUUGUUUUUUUUUCUUGUUCCGUCUCGCUCGUGUCCGUGGCCACGCAUAAUGAGUGAUGAGGUCCGCCGUCUCUCCUCCUCUGCCUCUCCUGUGUUUCAGAGACCCCCCUUCUCGGCAUUUGUAUUGUGGUCCUCGCUGAAGGAAUCAAAGCCGCCAUGUGCCGCGUGCCUCCUUGUUUUCGUCCCCUUUCUCCUCCUUUUCUACCUCCCUCCCCUCCGCUCCCCUCACAUUUUUGUUUGCUCAUGUCUGGGCGGGUGGAGUGGGGGGGGGAUGAAAAGAGCAUUCGUCGUUGACGUGUUGCGGGCGUAGGUGGAACUGAGCAAUACGCCAUGACUCCUCGAAGGGAAGAGGGAGGAGGGAGUUCAUGAUAUGCUGUUCGUGGACACGGCAACGUGCAAAGGAGAUGGGGAAGGGCGCAAGAGAAGGCUGAUGACUACAAUUCUCUGCCUUGAUGCUUUCUUUUUGUACCUUUUUUCUGUUUUCUUUUUCAAACUCUCAAGUUCUUCUCGCUCUAUUUUUUUUUCUCUAAAGGUGGCUACGAUGAUGAUAGUUGUAAAAAAAAACACCUAGCUGAAAAAAAACCGAAAGAGUGGCACAUGAACAGCAAGUCACAACUGUGGCGGCUAUGGCGUGUAUGGGAAGAGCGUGUGCGUGUUUGUGUGGUCGUGUGUGUAACAUGCGGCUCCAACAGCAGCAUCGCGGGGCCUGCCGUACGUUGACGCAGACACGCAAGCGUAUAUAGACACGGACAAGCGCCAAUUAGGAGUGGGGGCGUGCAGGAGAACUCCUUAGGGGCACGCAGAGGUGUUUUUUCCCGGUGAUGUGGCCAAGAGACGUGCUUGACGCCCAUCUGACUAGUGCGGCUCUGCUGACAAGCUUUGCAAAUCACGCACGUAGCCGGCUACGUAGCGGGCAGUCGCUCACGGAACUCUUUCCCCCGGUCCACCACCCACGUCCCUGCCAUCAUGUUCGCGCACUCAAAAAAAAAACCCACGCCCCUCCCCUUCACCACGGCCACCGAAAAAAAAAAACGAAACGCGUGCUUGCGGUUUCAUCGAAUGUCGACUGGCACUGCAGGCCUCUUACACAAAAUCUCUCCUCGUACUUGUGUAUCUUCCCCGGUGCCCCUUUCCUCUCUGUGAUUUUUUUGUGUAUUUUCGUGUCGGCGUUCGUGCCUCCGCGGUGCCUGACGUGACCCUUGUUCCGCCCACUUAG